AAGAAAGUGACAGACCGGUCAUGUGGAUGGCUUGAAACUAUCCUAAGGGGGUUCGACUCCUCCCUUUCUCG
rnacentral:tRNA from 1 species